GCUGGGCAUGAUAGCACGUGCCUGUAAUCCCAGCAGCUCAGGAGGCCGAGGCAGGAGGAUCUCAAGUUCAAAGCCAGCCUCAGCAACUCAGUGAAACUCUGUCUCUA
rnacentral:sRNA from 1 species